rnacentral:rRNA from 1 species
AACGUAGGAGACGAACGUUAUCCGGAGUUACUGGGCGUAAAGGGCGUGCAGGCGGUCUGAUAAGUUCGGCGUGAAAUAUUCCGGCUUAACCGGGAUAGGUCGUCGGAGACUGUCGGACUAGGGGGUGAUAGAGGCGUGUGGAAUUCCGGGUGUAGUGGUGAAAUGCGUAGAGAUCCGGAGGAACACCAGUGGCGAAGGCGACACGCUGGGUCACACCUGACGCUAAAGCGCGACAGCAUGGGGAGCGAACGGG